AACGAACGCUGGCGGCGUGGAUAAGACAUGCAAGUCGAACGAGAUUUUUCGUUGUAGCAAUACGAUGGAAAGUCUAGUGGCGAACGGGUGCUUAACACGUGGGCAACCUGCCAGGAAGUGGGGGAUAGCUCGCCGAAAGGCGGAUUAAUACCGCAUGUGAUUAGAGAGGACAUCCUUUCGAAAUUAAAGUCGGGGCAACCUGACGCUUCUUGUGGGGCCCGCGGCCUAUCAGCUAGUUGGUGAGGUAACGGCUCACCAAGGCUUUGACGGGUAGCUGGUCUGGGAGGACGACCAGCCACACUGGGACUGAGACACGGCCCAGACACCUACGGGUGGCAGCAGUCGAGAAUUUUUGACAAUGGGGGAAACCCUGACCGAGCGACGCCGCGUGGAGGAUGAUGGUCUUCGGAUUGUAAACUCCUGUCAUUGGGGAACAAUGCACAGAUAUUAACUGUAUUUGUGUUGAUAGUACCCGAAGAGGAAGAGACGGCUAACUCUGUGCCAGCAGCCGCAGUAAUAC
rnacentral:rRNA from 1 species